UACGUAGGGUGCGAGCGUUGUCCGGAAUUAUUGGGCGUAAAGGGUGCGUAGGCGGUUUGGUAAGUCUGAUGUGAAAUCUAUGGGCUCAACUCAUAGUCUGCAUCGGAAACUGCCGGGCUUGAGUAUGGGAGAGGUGAGUGGAAUUCCUGGUGUAGCGGUGAAAUGCGUAGAUAUCAGGAGGAACACCUGUGGCGAAAGCGGCUCACUGGACCAUAACUGACGCUGAUGCACGAAAGCUAGGGGAGCAAACAGG
rnacentral:rRNA from 1 species